UCAGCCAGCUAUGGUCUCCGGUCGCCGGCACCGAAGGAUUAGUCCACCAUGGAGCGGGCGGCGGCGGAGGCGACUUGCUCAGCUCCAGACCGGAAUCUCUCGUCGGAGAGACACCUUUGCCGUUGGACGAGGGCUUAGCCCUGUGGCUUCGGGGAACUUCUUCGAUGAUGACGGUGGAAUUGUGGAACGGGUGUUGGGAUUGUUAGAUGUGUUGAGUGACAAACGCCGGUGGCAAAAGGGGGCCGUGCAGUCGACGAGGUGAUCGGGGCAGCACAACAGGGUGAGGUCCGUCAAUGCGGUGCCCGCCGCCCCCGGAGAGAGGGGAAAGUGUACGAGACGACAAACGUUGAAGCCAUGGUCAAGGAUACGGACCACACAACCCCAUGCGAAAUGUCACUUUUGCCCUCUGGAGUUCUGCCUUUCUCAGAGCCCACCCCACCCUCACGGCUCCACUCGAGUAUUCUGCACGAAAAAGUUAAAAAUCAAACUGAACCACGACAAAGUUCAAGCUCUUCUCAACCACAGCUCUUACCUUUGUCACGAUCAUGAUGGAGAUCUUAAUAGCAGUAUUCCACGUUCCGUUUGGUUUUAGGGACUAAAAAUUAAUUCAUUCAUUUUAGUUUUAUUUAGUAGCUAAAUUGGCAAAUAAGUUGCAAUAAAACAGGGACUAAACUGUUUUAGUCUUUAGUCCGUCAAAGAUCUAUUAAAUGAGACUAACUCAUAUUAAUUCAAUAUUUUGACUCUCCUUCAUUUGUCCAUGGAUCGCUCUGGUCUUGCAUCUUACAAUUUGUUGGUCAGUUUAUAUAAGAUUCCUAAUGUUGUAUCUACAUGUGUUGCACAAUAUUGAUAUUUUUUGCUAUACACUCUCCUGUUGCAGCCCAAACUAUAAGUCCUUUAUGUAUCUAGAAAAGCUAAAACGACUUAUAAUUAGGAGGAGGGUGUAUAACGCUAAUAUUUUUUUGUUUCACUAUCCAUAUUUCUUUACUGUCAUUUUUUACUAUAUUAUUGGCUUUAGACAGAUUACUAUGAUACUUUUCGUUUUUCUUCAAUAGUGCUCAACAUAAUUUAGGAUGAGAAACUGGCUCCCACUAAUUGUUGUUGCAUUGUCCCUCUGUUAGUUGUUGCAUUGUCAUUUGUUGAACUACAGGUGAACCAUGAAUUAAGACUUGGGAUCAUAUCAUCGUCAUUCUCUCUUAGUCUCUUUCUUGAAAAAUAAUUUUUUGUGCAUGGAAAAAUGUGAUAAACUGUGUUUGAACAGGACAUAUGUCAGGCAUCAACCAAUAAGAGGGAAAAGUGGAGACAUGGUUUUUGGGACAUAUGUCACUUUUUGGGAGGGAAAUAGGCUUUUUUCUCGAUGUUGAAACAUGGUUUUGUCUUUGGUCACUUGGGCUCAUUUCAUUAGCAUUGUAUGGAUCAUCAUUGGCAGUAAGACCGAUGCAACCCUACUCCUUGAUGGCUUGGUACAAGGCUUCAAAAUAUCUGAAGUAAGCAAAUCUGCUAGCCUCUCAAAGUGAGCCUGAGACCUGCAAACCUCAAAGUGGUAAAUAGCUAUGUGGUAAUCAUGUAAGAGUGCUAUUAUGUUUUAUUUAAGACCUCAAAGUGAGCCUAGGAGUGCUAUUAUGUUUUAUUUCAGACCUCAAAGUGGUGAAUAUCUAUCUUGUAACAUAGAUGAGAAAUUCCACAACAAUAAAGUUUAUCACAAUCAUUAUAGUUAAGGAAGACAAAUAACAAAAAAAGAGGGAAAAUUCAAAUCAUAGAGUAUCUAAACAAAAUAGAUCACAAGUUCACAAGGGGAGACGACACACGCGGGUGGGGGCAGGGUAGGACCUCACACGUCGGUGUCAUCCAGGGUCCAGGGAUCGUAGGCAUCGUCGUAGACCGUGGCCUGCUCGGGAGCCCUGGCCCGGAUUCGUCCCCGAUGGCCUGGAGCCUCGCGCCGACGUCGAGGCGGUCGAGGGGGUGGUGUGACGGGAGACGACGCACGCGGGGCAAGGGGCAUGCGCCGCGAGCGGGCGGGGCGCGGCGGCCGCAGCGCGGCGGCCGCACGUCAUCUGUUGGGUCGAAGGCUGGGGGUGGGUAUUGCACGGCUGAUGGGUAAGACGAGGGCGUCGGGGCGGAGGCGUUGCCUCGCCCUGUGGGCGAGCAGGCGGGGCGCGCGGGCGGCAGUAGGCGGGGGCAAGGGGUGUGGACGCCUUCGUUGUACUCUUAAUAGAGUAGUAAAGAUGAACAACCCAACUUGGUUUUAUACCUGUUUCUGAUAAAAAAAUAUUUCUUUCUUUUGGCUAGCUCAUUAUUUUGCAUACUUUCUAUCACAUGAAGAAGAAUUAUGACUAUAUGUGCGUAAUUUAAGUUCUACCACAGUUGUUUGUAACUAGAGAUUAAAAAUUUCUAUGUAGCACCUUAUGACAGUUUUUUUCUUCUUCCUUGCAGUCGGGAAUUAAGUGAGACAAUGUAGAAGGUGAAAGAGGCGAGCAUGGCACAAAAGUGUGAACAAGCGACAGUGAUUUGUUGAACGAAUGACAAUCUUUUGAAGACGCCCACUGCCAAUUCUCUGCCUUUGUCAUGUGUGAGAAACCUUAAUCGGUACUCAAACUUUGGCAUGAAUCUAAGCUACUAGCCCAACUAAAUACACUGAUAAAUAAUUAUGUAGUGAAUUUAUUUAGCAUGUGUAGUGAGGGUAAUCUGGAUUUUUACACUUUGCAAUUGCUAUGUUUCAAUGUUUGAACUUUGGUGUACAAUAUCCCGCCUCUGCCCCAAAGAGGAUGUUAUCCAGGAUUCAUCUUGUUUGGGUUCCUUUUGACAUCAAAAUAAGUUGGUGGAUAAGGUGCUGUUUACAAUAAAAAAAAUCCCAACAUAUUACUCUAACAAGCAAAAUGGUACAUUAGUUGCCUUUUUUGUUUGUUUUCUUUUCUACCGCUUGAAUUUUUCAGGUGACUGGAAUUUCUGGCACAAAUGCUCUAAUUAUUCUAGGUACAAGAGCACAAUGGUUGUUGUAGCAUAUGAACCCUGCCGUGGUUAUUCAUACUAAAUGUGAAUAACAGAAUUCUUGCUUUGUUUGUGGCCUUUGAUCUGCAAGAGGGUCUAGCACUGCUAAUCUCCUCUAUCCAGGCUCUGCUAGAACUGGUGGAAGGUGAUUAUACGUGCGAAAUGUCCCUACUGUUGCUGUUUACACUAAAAAAUUGCUUUCCUGAUAAUUUAUCAUGAUUCGGACAUCAAUAUUGCAGCAGUUUGUACGGGCUAACCAAGAAGAUGUGGCUGAGGAUAACGCUAUGCUUCUUCCUAGGUCCUAUGGUGAUUGUCAUGUACCCAGAUAGUCAUUGGUAAUCGGAGCUCCGACCGAGGGACUGCAACCGUGCUCUGUGACCAUGUCCAGGUCGAGGGGUUCAGCUCGGGAGCCUUCUCUGACCUCGUCAUGAGGGUUCAAUUCGAUUUGCAUGUCAUUGCACCAAACAAGUUUAUGCUUCGUCUGCAGCCACCUGACUUCAAGACAAGGAAGGUGAUGAGUUGCAUAGGAACUCCGAUGUGCUAGAAAUCCUCAUGAAUACCAGGUUUCUAAUGGUCUAUGUGCAGUAUGAGCGUUCACUAGAAACAAUCAUAGGACACGAUCAAAUCAUCUGGCUCGGGGGCCUAAAUUACCGAAUCAUGCUUUCCCAUCAGUUAGUGAAGGCCCUUGUCGAGAUGCGCAAUUCUAGAGAAAGAUUAGGUGAGAGCUUGGUAACCCUCAGGUUUCUUUUGGUUACCCAGUAGUCCAGCUACCAACACUUGAAACAAGCUCUUCAGAUGAGAAGCAGCAGAAGCAACUUUUCUUUAGAAUCUACUUGGUUUCUAAGGAUUGUCAGCAUCAUAAGUUUUCCGCCACAUCCUUUCUUAUAGGUGAUUGUUUGAUCCCCAACCUAGACUCAAAGAAACUUUACUGUUAGUUGCAGAAUUGAUGCUCAGUUCCUUUAAAAAUGUCUCUUAUAGAUGGAAUCGGAACACACUUGUGCAGAUUAGUAUCACGAUGUAAUUAUUUUUAUUUAUAAUAAUGAGUAUUAUUUAUUCCUAGAGUUCUCAGUUUUUCUUGUUGUAUUCAAUGAAUACGCCGUUCUAAUACGGUACUCUUCAUAAUAAUAUGCAUGUUUGUCAGUCGUUAAGGGAACUUACAAGCUAAAGAAUUUCACAACUGCUGUUAAAUAUGAUUAGAAUUUAUCCUUAGAAAUGACCAGACAUCAAGGACCAUUUACUACAGUCUACUAAUCUAUACAUGUAGGCAAGAAACUGCACGUGGGUGUCCCAUUGAGCCUCUUCCUUUUUAUGUCAAAUAUUUCUUUCCUAUAUUUUCUUGUCUUUGACAUUUUUUUGUCGUUCAUAUUUGGCCUGUCAUUAGAGUGCAAAGAAACUCCAUGUGGGUGUCCCAUUGAGCCUCUUCCUCUUUAUGUCAAAUAUUUAUUUCCUAUGAGAGCCGCGUCACCUAUUAUUUUUGCCAGAGGUACAGAAAAGUCUCCUUUUAUUCUAGAUACCAUUUUUGGAAAUUCAAUGCUGGAUUACAUAGUUCAUAAUAUCAUGGUUUCAGUGUCCAGAAUGGAGCCGCUAAUAAUUUGUCAACUAGAUCAACUAAAGAAAAAUUGAAUCAGUCUCAAGCACAAUCGUUUAAUAGUGUGAAAAUUGGAUGAAACUAAUCGAUCAAGUGAAGAAGACAAAGGAAAAAUAUAGGUUUUGUUUUUUGCCGGUCAGCAGGUGUUUAGAGAAGAAAUUGACCGGAUUAAUAGGGUAGACGGUCGUACUAUUAAGAGGGGUCAAUGAACUUGAUCGGUGUAAAACUUAGUGCCUCGUAUAAUAUAAACGGUUGCAUUUACAUGAGGGCUAACAACGCUUCGUUUUUUAAAAUACAAAAUCUUUUGAAAAAGCGCAAAAAUAUCAACUCUGUGGUUGGUAGAACGUCCGAGCCAGGAGGCCAGCUCGUCCGCGACUCUGUCAGAGAAGUCUGCUGGCGCCUUGUCUCUGUCUCCCUUCGCUACCAUCCAAGCCAGGAGGCUGGACCGUCCGCAUAAACUGAAUUGAGUUUGGGCAGGGAAAGUGUGUUUUUGAGUCCUUGCACUAUGGACUGUCCGGGGUUUUUAGCCGGACGGUAAGUGGUCCAUGUGCAGACCGUCCGGCCAUAAAAUGGCGGACACUCCGCUCGGAUUGUUUUAACUGACGAGUGCUAUGAUAUUCCAUGUUGACAGGUCCCGGACCGUCCGGCCCAGGAGGGUGGAUCGUCCAGGCUUGACUUUUUCUGACAGCACUGACAGGUUUCAACGGUCUUUAUAGCCGUUACUGGUACGAUGGACCGUCCGGCCAUGGGGCGUGGACCGUCCAUGUGUGCGCAGAAGUUGUGCUAUUUGCACAUAAUGACUAGGUUUGAGUUGUGGGCUAUAAAUAGAAAUGGAGCUUGUGUGUGAGGGCUCUCUUGACCACUCCUAGCAUACAUUGAGCUCAUUUGUGAUCCUCUAACUCAAACUCUCAUACUUGUUGCUUGAGAUCGCAUUCUAGUGAGUGAUUGAGAAGUUCUAGUGCAUUUGCAUCCUUUGAGAAGUUCUACCGCCCCCUUCCGCAUACUAUUCCUCCCCGCACCACCGCAGCAAACGUCGGCCCCAUCCCGCCAUCUUCCUCUCCGCGCUGCCCCUCUCCCUGCUCGGAUCGGCACGCAUGGUACUGUUGUUUCUCCUACUCCUCUCUUCUUCGAGGUUCUCGAUCUCUCAGCUGAGGCGUCUGUGUCACCUGCCAUUCCCUAGUAGUCUCUCCUUCGGGUGUCCUAACAUACUCCUCUCUCCUUCUCGUGUCGUCGCCCCGAAGCAUGCUACUCCUCGCGCCACCGCAGUUUCCGUGACCCCUCCCCGUUUGUCUCCAUGGCGGCGCGGAAUCCGACUUGACAUGGCGGCAUUCUUGACAGACCUCACCCCUCUUCUCUGUUAGCAACUCUGUCGGCUAGGGCACGAACUAACAGUCGCUAGAGGUGUGGAGAACGGGAAGAUAUGACAUGGGGAAGAAGAAGAUAGCAGGGAAGGCGAUAAUAGAAUUGUUAUUUUUGUUCUUCGAUACCCUCUCCUGUACAGAUACACGCCAUUUAUAUAUGGACGCGGUCACACAAGUGUAUCAGUAUUGAGGCCCAUAUUACAUGGCCCAACGUGGCCCAACCACAUUUAUAUUUGGCCAGGGGCUGGCGCACUUUGAUCUCCUCGACUGCGCUUAAGCCUUCUCUUCUGCCGCGUCUGUUUCUGUUGUCUUGUUCAUCCCUUUCCACUUAUGAUUGCUUGCUAACAGCUUCAUCGCCUUGUAUUGACCUCCAGUUGCCUCCCCACUUGCCAACCUAUGUGGUGACCAUGGCAGUAUGUCUGACCAGGGCCGUACCUGUGGGGGUGCCAAGGGUGCGGCCGCACCAGGCCCCCAAAAUCAGAGGGUCCCCUAGCCACUAGACGCUAACACUUUUUUCCUGUUAAACCUAUCUAUUCUAGACACAAAUACGCAAAGAGCGAUGCGCUAUCAACUAGUCUCAUUUAGAUUGUUAAACUAAUGUCUCAAUUGCUUAUCGAAUACUCCAUCCGAUAAAAAAUAGUAUUUGUUUUAGCUCUUGAUUUUUUAUGUUUAUAUUCAACUAGAUGAUGAUGAAUCCACUAAAGAAGCAAAACAAAUUUUAUUUUGAUAUAGAGAGAGUAUUAUUUACUAUACACAUGAUGGUUGCAUCGGCAGAGAGAAGCUUUUUAAAAUUGAAAUAUUUUUGUGAACUAUUUAUGGUCAACAAUAACUUAAGAGAGGUUAAACGGCUUGACGAUUCUAUAUAUCGAAAAAAAGUUGUUGGAUGAAAUUGAUCUCAAUGAUAUAAGCGAUGACUUUGUAUCACAAAAUGUUAGAAGAUAUUUUUAAUGAUAUCAAAUAAGAAGUAAGUGCUUUUAGCUAUAUUUUACAUUUGUUAUCUUAUAAGCAUCAAAACAGAGCAUAAUAAUUUUUAUAUGUUAAAUAUUCGAUACUGUAUGUAUAAUUAUAUAUAUUUGUGUGUGGAUGGACCCUCCAUAUCGGAUUUCGUUCAAGGCCUUGAAAAGUCAGGAACGGCCCUGACACUGACAUUCUCUCGUCUGCGCGGCGUACAUUCUCCUAGCCGCCAUCCUCACCAUGCCGCUGCGGAUCCCGCCCGCGGUAUGACUCCCUCCUCACCUACGUGGCCACGCGCGACGCAGCCGCAACGACCUAACCCCCAUGUCGUCGCUGACCUCGCGUCCCGUCUCGCUGCUACGAUGCCUUCGUGGAAGCUUGAAGGUAUGAUGUCCCUUCCAUCUCUCUUCUUUGAUGGACUGCUCUUUGUUGUUCCAGUUCACUACUAAUGUGGGUUUUGCCUAUUGGUAGGAAAAAAAAUUCUUUACAUCUGGGAUGUAAAGAAUCUCUUUUACAGCCCCUCACAUACACCAGCUGCUGGUAUAUAUAAAUAGAAGAAAAAAAUAAAUUACUAAAAGAUUAUUUUGUAAAUUUUGAUCUGUCUUUGUGGGCCUUUAAGUGGUGCAUGUGAGGGGCUGUAAAAGGUGGUGUUCACAUGCGGUAUGUAUAGAUUUUUUUUCCCGGUGGUAAGCCUGGUGCGAUGGCGUUGGUAACAAAAAAAAAGUAGAAUGCACGCUUUAUUUAUUUUGAUGCCAAAAAUUCGAAUCGAAACUGCAAUUGGCCGCUUACAAUAUUAUUGUUGACAAAAAAUGAAAUGCGUGCUAGCAUCAUAGCUAACGAUAUUAUCAUACAUGUUUUGGUACAUUUAGCACUAAAAGGUGUGCUCUGAUGCUAUUUGCAUCAAUUAAACCAUCUUUAAGAAUAUGUCAUUGGUUACUUCAUAUAAUUUUGUCUUGUAAUUUGUUUGAACUUGUAAUGCCUGGAGAAGUCUGCAGUAAAAAAUUGUUAGGAUGCAGUCGUACUGCCAGGUUCAUUAAUUAGGUGAAUUUUUUGGUAUUUGUAGUUUUCAAAAUGAUGAAUAUGUACACAGAUGAAUAUGUAUAUUAUCUAAAAUUUAUUGGAUGUAACGUUCAAUUGUUUCAUGAUACACAUGUGUUGGUUAUUGGAGGGGAACGGUGGUGUUCUGUGUUAGGUUUCACGACAUAUCUCUGUGGAGCAGAUUGGCAUAUGUGAAAUUGAUAAGACGGUGGUAGAUGGUGAUGGUUUUUGCAUUAUCGGUUCUUUAGCGUGUCGACUGUAUAUUUUGUUGAACCAUGUAAGCUGUCGUCUUCUCUCAGUGCAAGCUUUGUGGGAGAGAUGGAACAAUUGUGAUGAUUCAUGGGCUUUCAUUCAAGAUUUUUGAAGAUCUAUCUAGAACUUCCACCAAUAGUCCAACCAUUACAAAUGGAAGAGGAUCUAGAGCAACUGAAAGUUUUUGAAAACAGCUAUCGGAUGAAGGUGAUCAAAGUGGAGCAAAAUGCCCGUGGUGUGGAUGCACCUGAGGUGCAUUGAGAAAAUCGAAGCGCUGACGUGAGCGAGAAAUAUCCAGUAGAAAAUGAUGGCAGAGCGAGUGCUUUGCAUUGCUAUCAGUGUAGGCUUGAUAGGAGACUUUUGGUUGUGAUAUCUUAUUUUCUAAAUAGUAUGAUACCAGAUAGGGGGGCCGUAAGGGCGCCUUUUGCUCUAGUAUUAGGCUGUCUCCAGCAACGUCUCCUAAAUUUCGUCCUUUAAAGUAAUAUUCUUUAUCAUUUACAGCAUCCUCUAAAAAAUUCGUCCUCUAUA